rnacentral:sRNA from 1 species
CAUGGGUGUUCCUGUGUAUAUUCCUAACAUAGACGGACAACUUGAUCAGUCUGUACACUGUCCCAAGUAAGGCUGAGCCCUGGUAUUGGAUUCGACAUUUAUUUCCAGAAGAGACCUUUAACUUGAAAGGCUGAUUUUAUGACAAAUUCCGCCUUUCUGAAAAGGAUCAACUUCUCAUUUCGAUCAUGAAGGUCAGCAUCGAUAGUGUCCCAGGAGACAGCAGCAACAGGGUAAAGCAAAUGUCUUGAGGCAAGAUCCUGCAUCCGGGAGCAGGGACCAGCUUCUCUUCAGAAAGGAGCUGUGCACCUGAAAAAUGGAGCCUGAAAACAGAUUUUUCAGGGACAUUAAUGACCUCACAUGGAGAAUUUGAAUUCUCAUGGCAAUGUCUUCCACUCAGGCAGAGGUCAAAGAAGCUUUGAGGAAGCAAGGAGGUUGAGAGCAGAGUUGCACCAGGCCGUUCAGAAAGCACAUCUUGAAGAGAUCUCCUGGCUCUAGAGGAAGUAAGGCAUGGAACCAGAGAUAACCUGGGAACUUGGGAACUUGCUGGUGUUUCAGUCCUCAGAGAGCUGAAGGAAAUAUCUGGGUACCCAGAUGUGGUGGUGGACCCACUGGACUUCCCAAUGCAUGCACCCUGAUUGCAAUUGAUAGCAUAUCAACAUGGAAUCUUCGUAAUUUUUAAUAAAUAUAUUGGCUCAUUUA